CAGGCCUAACACAUGCAAGUCGAGCGGAAACGAGUUAUCUGAACCUUCGGGGAACGAUAACGGCGUCGAGCGGCGGACGGGUGAGUAAUGCCUAGGAAAUUGCCCUGAUGUGGGGGAUAACCAUUGGAAACGAUGGCUAAUACCGCAUAAUGCCUACGGGCCAAAGAGGGGGACCUUCGGGCCUCUCGCGUCAGGAUAUGCCUAGGUGGGAUUAGCUAGUUGGUGAGGUAAUGGCUCACCAAGGCGACGAUCCCUAGCUGGUCUGAGAGGAUGAUCAGCCACACUGGAACUGAGACACGGUCCAGACUCCUACGGGAGGCAGCAGUGGGGAAUAUUGCACAAUGGGCGCAAGCCUGAUGCAGCCAUGCCGCGUGUGUGAAGAAGGCCUUCGGGUUGUAAAGCACUUUCAGUCGUGAGGAAGGUGGUGUAGUUAAUAGCUGCAUUACUUGACGUUAGCGACAGAAGAAGCACCGGCUAACUCCGUGCCAGCAGCCGCGGUAAUACGGAGGGUGCGAGCGUUAAUCGGAAUUACUGGGCGUAAAGCGCAUGCAGGUGGUUUGUUAAGUCUGAUGUGAAAGCCCGGGGCUCAACCUCGGAAUAGCAUUUGAAACUGGCAGACUAGAGUACUGUAGAGGGGGGUAGAAUUUCA
rnacentral:rRNA from 1 species